rnacentral:rRNA from 1 species
ACGGCUCAGUAACACGUGGACAACCUACCCUCAGAUCUGGGAUAACUCCGGGAAACUGGAGAUAAUACCGGAUAAUCCGUGAACGCUGGAAUGCCUUACGGUUUAAAGCUUUAGCGUCUGAGGAUGGGUCUGCGGCCGAUUAGGUAGUUGCUGGGGUAACGUCCCAACAAGCCGAUAAUCGGUACGGGUUGUGAGAGCAAGAGCCCGGAGAUGGAUUCUGAGACACGAAUCCAGGUCCUACGGGGCGCAGCAGGCGCGAAAACUUUACACUGCGCGAAAGCGCGAUAAGGGGACCUCGAGUGCGUGCGCAAUGCGUACGCUUUUCAUACGCCUAAAAAGCAUGUGGAAUAAGAGCCGGGCAAGACCGGUGCCAGCCGCCGCGGUAACACCGGCGGCUCGAGUGGUGGCCGCUAUUAUUGGGCUUAAAGGGUCCGUAGCCGGACCAGUUAGUCCCUUGGGAAAUCUUAUGGCUUAACCGUAAGGCUGCCAAUGGAUACUGCUGGUCUUGGGACCGGGAGAGGCAAGAGGUACCUCAGGGGCAGGAGUGAAAUCCUGUAAUCCUUGAGGGACCGCCAGUGGCGAAGGCGUCUUGCUAGAACGGGUCCGACGGUGAGGGACGAAAGCUAGGGGCACGAACCGGAUUAGAUACCCGGGUAGUCCUAGCCGUAAACGAUGCGAGCUAGGUGUCACGUGGAUUGCGAAUCCAUGUGGUGCCGUAGGGAAACCGUGAAGCUCGCCGCCUGGGAAGUACGGCCGCAAGGCUGAAACUUAAAGGAAUUGGCGGGGGAGCAC